UGCGAUGAUGAUGGGUAUACUAGAAAUCUCGUUAAUCUGAUGUUAAAAGGAGGAAUUUCUCCCAUCCAUUCGUUACAGUUCUGAGC